rnacentral:rRNA from 1 species
UACGGAGGGUGCAAGCGUUAAUCGGAAUUACUGGGCGUAAAGCGUGCGUAGGUGGUUUGUUAAGUCUGAUGUGAAAGCCCUGGGCUCAACCUGGGAAUUGCACUGGAUACUGGCAGGCUAGAGUGCGGUAGAGGAUGGCGGAAUUCCCGGUGUAGCAGUGAAAUGCGUAGAGAUCGGGAGGAACAUCCGUGGCGAAGGCGGCCAUCUGGACCAGCACUGACACUGAGGCACGAAAGCGUGGGGAGCAAACAGG